rnacentral:rRNA from 1 species
AUUGAACGCUGGCGGCAGGCCUAACACAUGCAAGUCGAGCGGGGUUUUCGGACCUAGCGGCGGACGGGUGAGUAAUGCGUAGGAAGCUACCCGAUAGAGGGGGAUACCAGUUGGAAACGACUGUUAAUACCGCAUAAUGUCUACGGACCAAAGUGUGGGACCUUCGGGCCACAUGCUAUCGGAUGCGCCUACGUGGGAUUAGCUAGUUGGUGAGGUAAUGGCUCACCAAGGCGACGAUCCCUAGCUGGCCUGAGAGGAUGAUCAGCCACACUGGAACUGAGACACGGUCCAGACUCCUACGGGAGGCAGCAGUGGGGAAUAUUGGACAAUGGGCGCAAGCCUGAUCCAGCCAUGCCGCGUGUGUGAAGAAGGCCUUCGGGUUGUAAAGCACUUUCAGUAGGGAGGAAGCGUUGUGUGUUAAUAGUACACAGCGUUGACGUUACCUACAGAAGAAGCACCGGCUAACUCUGUGCCAGCAGCCGCCGUAAAAC